rnacentral:rRNA from 1 species
AUUGAACGCUGGCGGCAGGCCUAACACAUGCAAGUCGAGCGAGCGGCGGACGGGUGAGUAAUGUCUGGGAAACUGCCCGAUGGAGGGGGAUAACUACUGGAAACGGUAGCUAAUACCGCAUACCAUCAGAUGUGCCCAGAUGGGAUUAGCUAGUAGGUGGGGUAAUGGCUCACCUAGGCGACGAUCCCUAGCUGGUCUGAGAGGAUGAUCAGCCACACUGGGACUGAGACACGGCCCAGACUCCUACGGGAGGCAGCAGUGGGGAAUCUUCCGCAAUGGGCGAAAGCCUGACGGAGCAACGCCGCGUGAGUGAAGAAGGUCUUCGGAUCGUAAAACUCUGUUAUUAGGGAAGCGGUACCUAAACAGAAAGCCACGGCUAACUACGUGCCAGCCGCCGCGGUAAUAC